rnacentral:tRNA from 1 species
GGCCCCAUCGUCUAAUGGUUAGGACACCACCCUUUCAAGGUGGAGAUAUGAGUUCGACUCUCGUUGGGGCUA